NGCUGCCGGGCAGGNAGUUAGCCGGGGCUUAUUCUCCCGGUACAGUCAUUAUCUUCCCGGGUNAAAGANCUUUACAACCCUAGGGCCUUCAUCACUCACGCNGGCAUUGCUGGAUCAGGCUUUCGCCCAUUGUCCAAUAUUCCCUACUGCUGCCUCCCGUAGAGG
rnacentral:rRNA from 1 species